GUUCCUCCUCUCCUCUUUGAACGCAAAUUGCACUUUCUGGUAUUCCGGAAAGUAUGCCUGUUUGAGGGUCAGUUAAAUAAAAAUCGGUGUUGUUGCCGCUUUUCGUGGUGACGCGUCGGAAUUGAGUUGUCUUACCUUUGGAUAAGUGACUUAAAAUUUUGUAUGAUUUUCGAACGUAUUUAAAUUUUUUAGGUACGUUUGAGAUAUCGAAUAAUUUAUUAGGUUUGGUUAUCCUUAUGAUUUGUAUCUAUAAUUU
rnacentral:misc_RNA from 1 species